GGGUUUACCCAUUGGUCAGGCUAAAUUGACUGUACUGGUGAGAUAAAUCUCUACCUUCUGAGGAACUCUCAUGCCAUUUAUUUGGUGUGGUUGGAAAUCAGGACUGUUACUUUGAAAAAAUUAGAGUGUUUAAAGCAGGCUAACGUCUGAAUACAUUAGCAUGGAAUAAUGAAAUAGGAC
rnacentral:rRNA from 1 species